AUUGAACGCUGGCGGCAGGCCUAACACAUGCAAGUCGAACGGUAACAGGAAGCAGCUUGCUGCUUUGCUGACGAGUGGCGGACGGGUGAGUAAUGUCUGGGAAACUGCCUGAUGGAGGGGGAUAACUACUGGAAACGGUAGCUAAUACCGCAUAACGUCGCAAGACCAAAGAGGGGGACCUUCGGGCCUCUUGCCAUCGGAUGUGCCCAGAUGGGAUUAGCUUGUUGGUGGGGUAACGGCUCACCAAGGCGACGAUCCCUAGCUGGUCUGAGAGGAUGACCAGCCACACUGGAACUGAGACACGGUCCAGACUCCUACGGGAGGCAGCAGUGGGGAAUAUUGCACAAUGGGCGCAAGCCUGAUGCAGCCAUGCCGCGUGUAUGAAGAAGGCCUUCGGGUUGUAAAGUACUUUCAGCGGGGAGGAAGGGAGUAAAGUUAAUACCUUGACUCAUUGACGUUACCCGCAGAAGAAGCACCGGCUAACUCCGUG
rnacentral:rRNA from 1 species